rnacentral:rRNA from 1 species
AGUCGAGCGGCAGCGCGGGGGCAACCCUGGCGGCGAGCGGCGAACGGGUGAGUAACAUAUCGGAACGUACCCUGUCGUGGGGGAUAACACAGCGAAAGCUGUGCUAAUACCGCAUACGACCUGAGGGUGAAAGCGGGGGACCGUAAGGCCUCGCGCGAUAGGAGCGGCCGAUAUCGGAUUAGCUUGUUGGUGAGGUAAAGGCUCACCAAGGCGACGAUCCGUAGCGGGUCUGAGAGGACGACCCGCCACACUGGAACUGAGACACGGUCCAGACUCCUACGGGAGGCAGCAGUGGGGAAUUUUGGACAAUGGGGGCAACCCUGAUCCAGCCAUUCCGCGUGAGUGAAGAAGGCCUUCGGGUUGUAAAGCUCUUUCAGCAGGAACGAAACGGUGGUCCUUAAUACGGGCUACUAAUGACGGUACCUGAAGAAGAAGCACCGGCUAACUACGUGCCAGCAGCCGCGGUAAUACGUAGGGUGCGAGCGUUAAUCGGAAUUACUGGGCGUAAAGCGUGCGCAGGCGGUUAUAUAAGACAGAUGUGAAAUCCCCGGGCUCAACCUGGGAACUGCGUUUGUGACUGUAUAACUUGAGUGUGGCAGAGGGGGGUGGAAUUCCACGUGUAGCAGUGAAAUGCGUAGAGAUGUGGAGGAACACCGAUGGCGAAGGCAGCCCCCUGGGUCAACACUGACGCUCAUGCACGAAAGCGUGGGGAGCAAACAGGAUUAGAUACCCUGGUAGUCCACGCCCUAAACGAUGCGAACUAGUGUUGGGGAAGGAGACUUUCUUAGUACCGCAGCUAACGCGUGAAGUUCGCCGCCUUGGGAGUACGGUCGCAAGA